GGGGAAUUUUGGACAAUGGGCGCAAGCCUGAUCCAGCCAUGCCGCGUGCAGGAUGAAGGCCUUCGGGUUGUAAACUGCUUUUGUACGGAACGAAAAAGCUCUCUCUAAUACAGGGGGUGAAUGACGGUACCGUAAGAAUAAGCACCGGCUAACUACGUGCCAGCAGCCGCGGUAAUACGUAGGGUGCAAGCGUUAAUCGGAAUUACUGGGCGUAAAGCGUGCGCAGGCGGUUAUGUAAGACAGAGGUGAAAUCCCCGGGCUCAACCUGGGAACUGCCUUUGUGACUGCAUAGCUGGAGUGCGGCAGAGGGGGAUGGAAUUCCGCGUGUAGCAGUGAAAUGCGUAGAUAUGCGGAGGAACACCGAUGGCGAAGGCAAUCCCCUGGGCCUGCACUGACGCUCAUGCACGAAAGCGUGGGGAGCAAAC
rnacentral:rRNA from 1 species